GGAUGGUAGCAAGAGAAGCAGCUUGAUCAGCAGUGUGAGUGCCCUUACCUUUUGUCAUUGAGGUUUGAGUGAAGCCAGGGCAAAAACAGUUCACACUCAUCAACUUCGUUGUAUUAAUAUUAUAUCUCUUAGCCAACACUUUUGAGUAUGCAUUUAGAGCCAAUUUUGAUACUGCAUAGUCUGUCCAAUAUGAUGGCCACCCUUGACUCUUCCAUGUUCCAUUUCUCACAUCUCUUAGAAAUUUUUUCACCAUUUCGUUGAUUUCAUCUUCCUUCAAUUCAUCACUCUCUAGAAUUCUUUUCAUUUCCACGUUUGUCACCUUCUGCAUAUAAUAAUAUUUAGUUUGAGCACGCAUAGAAUUAUAUGGUAUAUAAUUUUUUAUUUUAUUUUUUAUACAUGUGACCAUUUAUAUUAGAUACUUACAUCCAAAGAACCGAGUCUUGAGCUAACAUUGAGAAUACGUGUGAUGGAAGAAUUAGAAGAGGAGGAGCAACGAAAGAGGGGAAGAAGUGCCUCUAUAAGCAACUUGGGACCAUAGAAAUUUGUUUUCAUGACGUUUUCAGCAUGGUCCACUGAAUUCUCGUCGAGCUCAUUGAAUGAUACAGCCGCAUUGUUCACCUGAUCACAUAC
rnacentral:lncRNA from 1 species